rnacentral:lncRNA from 1 species
ACAUUUGUCUGGUGGCUCAGAGAGGGGACAGAAAGAGCAGCAGCUUAUGUCCUUGGCUAUCCUCUCAAGUGGGCUAAUUUGCUUAUUUUCAACUCUGUUGGGUCCAGCCCUGUUGCCUCUGAUCUCAGCUCAAAGAGGAUUUGGCGGGAGUUUUUGGUUGUGAUAACCAAUAACAACCAACUAUACGCACUGCGAACAUCUCCUAGUGCCAGAAGCCCUGUUAGCUCAUUAUCUUAAUCCUCAGGAUAACCCAGGCAAUUUGUAUUCACCCUAAAAACUUCCCCUGGCCGGGUGUGGUGGCUCACGCCUGUAAUCCCAGCAAUUUGGGAGACUGAGGCAGGCGGAUCACUUGAGGCCAGGAGUUCCUAACCAGCCUGGCCAACAUGGUGAAACCCCAUCUGUACUAAAAAUGCAAAAAAUUAGCCGGGCGUGGUGGCACAUGCCUGUAGUCCCAGCUACUUGGGAGGCUGAGGCAGGAGAAUCACUUGAACCUGGGAGGCGGAGGUUGCAGUGAGCUGAGAUCAUGCCAUUGCACUCCAGC